ACAACAGAAACGUUCACAGUCUGCUGAUAAUGUCUGUGGGUUUGAGUGUGAAAAUAUGAAAGAAAAACAAAUUGAAUUAAUAAGUGCAAGUGUUGAAAGUUUUCUUCGAGUAGACAGGUUGUACUGAUGUCAGAGAAGUUGUGGAGUCGUCUGUGUAGUCGGCUACACUGCCCAUGUAGCAUAUUAAUAUGUACAUCAGGAGCUUAGUGAUGGUGCGUGAGCUGCCAGGAUUAAAUCCGGAUCCUGUUUGGUCCGUAGCCAGGCUCUCUGUGCCUGCAGAUUCCACCUCAGGACGUGAUGACACGUGGGGACCCGAGGGGGUGCACAACAGGAAUCAACAGUGAAGUGUGUGUGUGUGUGUGUGUGUGUGUGUGUGUGUGUGUGUGUGUGUGUGGGUGAUGGAGCUUAAAAAUUCCAAGAAGAGAAAGGAAAAGGAGGAAACAGAAAGGAGAAGAGAGGUGAUGUCUUUUGUGGUUCUUGGUAAGAGGAGUACAAUGUGACCGGACUGGUGGAACCGGGUCAGGAUCGGGGAAGUAUAAAGACAAACAAUGAGUUCAAUGAGCUACACAUUAUACAGACAUAAGCCACUUCCCUCGGCGGUGUACACCUAAAGAUCAUGGGGCACUGAUCUUGAUUGUUACUGUAACCUCAGGGAUUUCCAGGCACAAGAAUCUGAGAGGAAAGCGGGGGCAAACAGGACAGACUGGAUUUUACACACGUCAUGUUUUGCUGGAUGACAGAAAUGAGGCUCCCUCGUGUCAAGCAUGGGAGGUUUUUGUGCCAGGAGACUUCUCAAACCAGCCUUUAUUGCAUAAGUUUGAUCGGAAGAACAACACAAAGUAGCUUUCUUCCUGCUGGUCAUGAACAUUCCCAACAUGGGUUAGCAAAAAUAA